CGGGGUGUGGCGCAGGUGGUAGCGCGCAGUCUUCGGGUGGCUGAGGUCCCCGGUUCGAGUCCGGGCACCCCGA
rnacentral:tRNA from 1 species